UACGGAGGGGGCGAGCGUUGUCCGAAUUUACUGGGCGUAAAGCGCGCGUAGGCGGGUUGGUAAGUCCGCUGUGAAAGCCCGGAGCUUAACUCCGGAGGGUCGGUGGAUACUGCCAGUCUUGAAGGUGCUAGGGGGAGAUGGAAUUACCGGUGUAGCGGUGAAAUGCGUAGAUAUCAGGAAGAACAUCGGUGGCGAAGGCGCUCUGCUGGACCAUAACUGACACUCAGGGACGAAAGCUAGGGGAGCGAAUGGG
rnacentral:rRNA from 1 species